rnacentral:lncRNA from 1 species
UAAUACUCGAUGGUGAGUCAGCCACUUCCUCCCCUAGAUAGAACCUGACAAACUUUUUGCACGGGACUGUACAUGAAAAUAAAAAUACCAAUAUGUGAAAGUUAAUUGUAAAAUGCAAAUAAGAUUAGAAAAUAAUAAACAAUAAUACUUAUAAACAUUUUAUAAAAAAAAUGAUAAACCCAAAUAAAACUAUAGUAAGUAAUAAUCAGCAAUAAAUCGGUCAACAGAUAUAAACAUAAAAAUUUGAUUCAUAAAAAUAGCAUAAAAGUGCAAAACUUAUAUAAAAAUAAUGUUAAAAUAUACUAAAAAACAAAAAAUAAUUGUUGAAUGAAAUAACAAUACAGGAAACCUUCAUAUAACAUGGUACUUCCACAAUACAGUUUUUAUUUAUCAUAUUUAGAAAAUUACUUUUAUUCUCCUAUAAUACAAAACAUUUUUAUAAAUCCACACUAUGGACACACAAAUAUACUCAAAAUACAAUUUUUGGUCAGAAGGGAGCUGCAAAAUUGCUUAUCCCCAUACCGUGAAAUUUACAGCAGUCUUGUAAGGACAAACAAACAAAGAUUACAGAUUUUGGAAAGAAACACAAGAUACACAAACUUCACUUUCUGAACUUUUUCUACAUUUAAAGUUGAAU